GUGUCAGCCGCCGCGGUAAGACAGAGGGUGCAAACGUUGUUCGGAAUUACUGGGCGUAAAGCGAGUGUAGGCGGUCCGAUAAGUCGGGUGUGAAAGCCCUGGGCUCAACCCAGGAAGUGCACUCGAAACUGCUGGACUUGAGUAUCGGAGAGGUUGGUGGAAUUCUCGGUGUAGAGGUGAAAUUCGUAGAUAUCGAGAGGAACACCGGUGGCGAAGGCGGCCAACUGGACGAAUACUGACGCUGAGACUCGAAAGCGUGGGGAGCAAACAGGAUUAGAUACCCUGGUAGUCC
rnacentral:rRNA from 1 species